UUGUCGGUACUGCAGCUGGAGUAGACCUUUAUCGUCUCUUUCCAAUUAAUCCCAGGAUGGUAGAGCUUGGAGGCGACUUCUGGGGAGCAUCGAGUCCAGCCCCGCUGCUAGGGCAGUUUGUGUUGCCAGACCCUUACAGUUACUCCCCCAUGUUUAAGGGGCUGCAGCUCAGACAUGACUUUUGCACUACCCCAGGUGUCCCGGCUGGCUUUGAGCAUUACUCAUCAGAUCUGGUGAAAAGGAGGAGAAGACAAAACAGAAAAGUCUGGAAAAGAAGAGACAGAGGGGAGAGCAUCUCACUCUGUACAACUCCCUGAAAGGAGGUUGGAGGCAGAAAGUGCUUGCAGCAGUUCAAUAGCAGAGGGAGGAAACAGCUGGCCUGCACAUUUGUGAGUGAGCAGCAUUUAA